rnacentral:miRNA from 1 species
AUCUAAUUCUUGAAAUUCAA